GUGGGGAAUAUUCCGCAAUGGACGAAAGUCUGACGGAGCAACGCCGCGUGAGUGAAGAAGGUUUUCGGAUCGUAAAGCUCUUUCGUUAGGGACGAACGUGCUCUUUGUGAAUAAUGAGGAGUAAUGACGGUACCUAAAUAAGAAGCCACGGCUAACUACGUGCCAGCAGCCGCGGUAAUACGUAGGUGGCAAGCGUUGUCCGGAAUUAUUGGGCGUAAAGCGCGCGCAGGCGGGAUAUCAAGUCUGUCUUAAAAGUGCGAGGCUCAACCUCGUGAGGGGACAGAAACUGGUAUUGUUGAGUGUCGGAGAGGAAAGUGGAAUUCCAAGUGUAGCGGUGAAAUGCGUAGAGAUUUGGAAGAACACCAGUGGCGAAGGCGACUUUCUGGACGAUGUCUGACGCUGAGGCGCGAAAGCUAGGGGAGCGAACGGGAUUAGAAACCCCGGUAGUCC
rnacentral:rRNA from 1 species